AUGGUCAUAGAUAGUUUCAUAAAUACCUUUUCCAAGUACUUAUUCCAUAAUCCCUUCGCCCUCAGCAAGAAACUCAGUUGUCUGUGGUUCUCUGCCUAGUAAUGUGACCCAAACAUUUAUUACUGAAAGGAGCUCGGAAGAGCAAACGUCUG